rnacentral:rRNA from 1 species
GACAGAGGCCCCGAGCGUUAGGCGGAAUCACUGGGCUUAAAGCGUGUGUAGGCGGGCCCGUAAGUGUCUUGUGAAAUCCCACGGCUCAACCGUGGAACUGCUGGGCAUACUGCGGGUCUUGGGCCAACUAGGGGCAGCCGGAACAAGCGGUGGAGCGGUGAAAUGCGUAGAUAUCGCUUGGAACGCCGAAGGUGAAAACAGGCUGCUGGGGUUGCGCCGACGCUGAGACACGAAGGCCAGGGGAGCAAACGGG